rnacentral:rRNA from 1 species
CAGGCUUAACACAUGCAAGUCGAGGGGCAGCAUGGUCUUAGCUUGCUAAGGCCGAUGGCGACCGGCGCACGGGUGAGUAACGCGUAUCCAACCUGCCUUACACUCUUGGACAGCCUUCUGAAAGGGAGGUUAAUACAAGAUGUUAUCAUGAGUAAGCAUUUUCGCAUGAUUAAAGGUUUACCGGUGUAAGAUGGGGAUGCGUUCCAUUAGAUAGUAGGCGGGGUAACGGCCCACCUAGUCUUCGAUGGAUAGGGGUUCUGAGAGGAAGGUCCCCCACAUUGGAACUGAGACACGGUCCAAACUCCUACGGGAGGCAGCAGUGAGGAAUAUUGGUCAAUGGACGAGAGUCUGAACCAGCCAAGUAGCGUGAAGGAUGAAGGUUCUAUGGAUUGUAAACUUCUUUUAUACGGGAAUAAACGAAUCCACGUGUGGAUUUUUGCAUGUACCGUAUGAAUAAGGAUCGGCUAACUCCGUGCCAGCAGCCGCGGUAAUACGGAGGAUCCGAGCGUUAUCCGGAUUUAUUGGGUUUAAAGGGAGCGUAGAUGGGUUGUUAAGUCAGUUGUGAAAGUUUGCGGCUCAACCGUAAAAUUGCAAUUGAUACUGGCAGUCUUGAGUACAGUUGAGGUAGGCGGAAUUCGUGGUGUAGCGGUGAAAUGCUUAGAUAUCACGAAGAACUCCGAUUGCGAAGGCAGCUUACUAACCUGUAACUGACAUUGAUGCUCGAAAGUGUGGGUAUCAAACAGGAUUAGAUACCCUGGUAGUCCACACGGUAAACGAUGAAUACUCGCUGUAGGCGAUAUACAGUCUGCGGCCAAGCGAAAGCAUUAAGUAUUCCACCUGGGGAGUACGCCGGCAACGGUGAAACUCAAAGGAAUUGACGGGGGCCCGCACAAGCGGAGGAACAUGUGGUUUAAUUCGAUGAUACGCGAGGAACCUUACCCGGGCUUAAAUUGCAACCGAAUAUGGCGGAAACGCUAUAGCUAGCAAUAGCGGUUGUGAAGGUGCUGCAUGGUUGUCGUCAGCUCGUGCCGUGAGGUGUCGGCUUAAGUGCCAUAACGAGCGCAACCCUUGCCGAUAGUUACUAACAGGUCAUGCUGAGGACUCUGUCGGGACUGCCAUCGUAAGAUGUGAGGAAGGUGGGGAUGACGUCAAAUCAGCACGGCCCUUACGUCCGGGGCUACACACGUGUUACAAUGGGGGGUACAGAGGGCUGCUACCACGCAAGUGGAUGCCAAUCCCAAAAACCUCUCUCAGUUCGGAUUGAAGUCUGCAACCCGACUUCAUGAAGCUGGAUUCGCUAGUAAUCGCGCAUCAGCCACGGCGCGGUGAAUACGUUCCCGGGCCUUGUACACACCGCCCGUCAAGCCAUGGGAGCCGGGGGUACCUGAAGUGCGUAACCGCAAGGAGCGCCCUAGGGUAAAACUGGUGACUGGGGC